CCUACGGGAGGCAGCAGUGAGGAAUAUUGGUCAAUGGGCGCGAGCCUGAACCAGCCAAGUAGCGUGAAGGAUGACUGCCCUACGGGUUGUAAACUUCUUUUAUAAAGGAAUAAAGUGAGGCACGUGUGCCUUUUUGUAUGUAUUUUAUGAAUAAGGAUCGGCUAACGUCGUGCCAGCAGCCGCGGUAAUACGGAGGAUCCGAGCGUUAUCCGGAUGUAUUGGGUGUAAAGGGAGCGUAGAUGGGUUGUUAAGUCAGUUGUGAAAGUUUGCGGCGCAACCGUAAAAUUGCAAUUGAUACUGGCAGUCUUGAGUACAGUUGAGGUAGGCGGAAUUCGUGGUGUAGCGGUGAAAUGCAUAGAUAUCACGCAGAACUCCGAUUGCGAAGGCAGCAUACCGGCGCCCAACUGACGCUGAGGCACGAAAGCGUGGGUAUCGAACAGGAUUAGAUACCCUGGUAGUC
rnacentral:rRNA from 1 species